UCCUGCAUUGGCAGGCGGAUUCUUAACCACUGCGCCACCAGGGAAGCCCCGAUAUUUUCUUAUUUGUUCAUCAGUUUAAGUUGUAUUACAUUGUAUUACAUCAAAAAGCAGGAAGAACUUGUAGUUGUAUUAGCAUGGGUUUUACAGGUUUACAGCUUUCAUGGGUAUUUUUUCAAGUUUCCUUGGGAAAUGAUGACUUGAAUUUUUGGCCUUAAUCUUUUUGAUGUAUUGUUCUCUUAGUCACAAACUAUUUCUCUAUAUUCUUUGUUGCUUAAAGAGAAUCUGUUGGGUAACAGAAAAGUAAAAUUAUUCCAGUGCAAAGUAUACUGCAUAUUUUGGCUGUUGUGAAUUGCCUGUAGUAAUAGCAUUUGGUUUAUUAUUUUAGCAGCCGCUAUUGUGGUCUGUGUCUUUGCCGUCAAGGCAGAGGGUCACAUUCAGUUGUGAACACUGUUGUGUGUUGAAAGAUCUCGGAUGGUGACUUUGAUCAUGUGGACGUCCCCUCCCCCAUACCUACAAAUUUCAGAACUUGUUUCUCAGAAGGAGGCCCUGCUGCAGAACAAGCUAAUAAAGAAUGUGGUUCCUUUAUGGUUCGAUAUCACGGGAGUCUGCUCCAGAGGAGAUCAUUACCUUUUAGGCUGAUUUCUGGCAAGGAGAAAAGAAAACAUGGAUGAAGCUACCUGAAAUUUGGUUUCCGGGGUGAACCGAAGUCGAGAGACAGGAAACGCUGGAGUCUCCCUUCAGCUGUGGUCCUGGGAGCCAGGAGCAUCAGCCUUUCCUGAGAGCUGCUCGCAAGUAGCAAGGCUCUUCUGUACCAGGAGGGAGCAGUCAGGCCUGGAAAUCCCAGAUUUUGUUGGAAAGGAACACCGUCUGCAGCUUCCCUGCAUAGAGCACCGAGGAUGAGAGGAGAAGAAAAGGUCCGCGGAGGACAGAGGCUCUUCUUGUUUUCCCCUCAGCUCCACUGUGAAAACGCGGCUGUGUCCCCGUGACUGUAGAGCAGAAAAGGCAGUAGAACCUCGUCAGACAGCCGGUGGGGAUGGCCGUCUGCAGUGAAAUCCUAUUAGAGAACACUUUGACGAAGGUCAUGUUUCUAUUCCUGCCGACCACAGUGAGUGGUAUCCAGCAGAGGAAUGGUUGUCCUUCGUCAGCUCUAGUCGGACUGAGAAAUACUUGAUCCAUACGGAGAAUAUGACACAACGGACCCUAAUCAAGUUCCUGGUGCUUGUUUCAUGGUAUCAGUAUAAAUCUGUUUCUCUUCAUUUCUUAAGAGCCACACACUCCUCAACAGACCAAGGUCAGUGUUUGUCAAACUUGAGUGCUUUCAGGUCACCCAAGAUCUCACCAAGGUGUUGGCUGAGAGUCCUGGUCUGGGUGGGGCUCUGAGAGGAGACCACACUCUGAGUCUCGAGGGUCAGGAAAAUCUACCAGGAUCUCACAUCUGAGGACGACAGGGCGUCUUUGGAAAAAACCGCUAGUGGAUGCAGACAUUGUGCAAGUGCAAAAACAGCCAUACGUAACCCAGGACUGUCCAGCUGAACCGAAGCACUGGUGUGGAGGUGGGUGACCGGCCAGUUCACGGACUCAGCUCACCAGCUCAUGCCUGGCGGUGCAGACGGUCCACUUGGACUGUCAAGACCACAGUUCGCUAUUACUGAGAUGUUGUGAAUGGCUGGCUUUGACUGGUAGAGCUGUAUUUUCUUCAACUAAAUUUCCAUUAACAAAUAGGUAUUUUUUAAACAGGUGGGUUGUUUUUUUUUUAAAUAAAACAAGCCAGAACCCCGUUUCCUACCUUUCCUCCACUCUGUAUACGGAGCACCCGUGUCCUGGAGGAGGGGCCAUGGCCAUGGUCUCUACCUACCAAGUAGCUGUUAAGUAGAAACUAGGAAGCAGAACUGAAGUUCUCAUCUCUUGCUACUAAACUGUACUAUGGGACAAGACGUUUUCAUUUUUCUUUGUCUUUUUAAAAGGGCAAGACUAUUAGUGAUAAUAAAAUUCAGGGAAAAUAUUGAUUUUGGGCAUACCAUCUUGAAAGCUAAAUUUUAAUAAAAGUCAAUUUUAAUAAAAACUAGUAUAAUUAUUAAGACUCAACUUGCAUACUUCUAAAACAAGUGCUAACACGCUGCUAUGUGGACCCCUUGGGGUCACCUGGGAUGGUGAGUAUCAGCUGCGUUUCUUUUUUUCUGCCAGAGCAGCAGUGCUGUUAACUAUUGUACAUAAUUAUUACACAUAAUGGAAUUUGUUAAGGUUUUAUUAAAAGAAUAAAGAGUUCUGCCUGAAAAUCAGUUUAUAAUGUCACAUUUCAAAAUGAGAGAAAACACAGGCUUACCUUCUGGUAUGUUCUGUGGGA